UUUGCCCUGCGAUGUGCGUGAGCUCUAUGAGUUUUGUUCCUAACACCAACAAAACGGGAAGUUAAGUCUUGUACCAAGUGGCAGCCGCUUGUUCGGAUUCGCGCGGUACAAAGACAAACCUCCCACCUGCGGAGAGCAGGUUCAAAACGAGAGGGCCACGGCAUGGCGGGGGAAGA
rnacentral:other from 3 species